UACUCAGUUGUGAACCAAGAGGGUUUAACCAUACCACCCUCUGCCAGAGAACUACAAGUGAAAAACUUGAAACUCUAAGGACUUGACGGUGCCCCACACCAACCUAGAGGAGCCUGUCCUAUAAUCGAUACUCCACGCUAUACCCUACCCCCCCUCGCCCCACAGCCUAUAUACCGCCGUCGCCAGCCCACCUACUGAUAGCACCAAUAGUCGGCAUAACAGCACCCCACGCAAGCACGUCAGGUCAAGGUGUAGCUAAUGGGGGGGCUGAGAUGGGCUACAUUUGCUGCUCAAUAGCAAAUAACCAAGGCCACAUGAAACCGCUGGCUAACAGGCGGAUUUAGCAGUAAACAGGGCAAGAUCUGCCCACUUGAACCCCGCUC
rnacentral:rRNA from 1 species